rnacentral:lncRNA from 1 species
ACACAGACUCUGACGUGAAGCAGCAGCAGCUCCGUGUUUCCUGUGUUUUUAUUAACAUUAUUGUCCCUCAUCAGCUCGGUUAUCUCCUGCUCCAGUUGUUGGAGGAGCGUUUGAGCUUGACUCACUGCCGCCCUCUCCUGACCCCGGAUCAGCUCUUUCACUUCAGCACGCCGCCGCUCCACCGAGCACACCAGCUCUGUGAAGACACGCUCGCUCUCCUCCAGGGCCGUCUGAGCCGACAGCUGACACCAGACAAAACACACACAAACCAGAAAAAAAAGGCAUGACUUUGGCUUUAAACAGGAGUCGUGAAAUGGAAAAGAUGAUUUGGAUUGCUCUUUUGAAGUCGGCCAAUUCAAGCAGAGCGUGUCAGUGUCAGGGACUU